rnacentral:lncRNA from 1 species
UGCAGCCAUACAUCAGAAGGUGGAGGUGCUGGAGCCCCAUCCCCAAAGAAGUGCAAUGAGGACACAAUUGGAAACAUUGGUUAGAUUAUCAACGCUUUGAGUGGAAUGUCAUUUUGAGAGAAAGAUGAAACAACAUCCAGAUAUGAUCAAACAGCUUUAAGGAAAAAGGACUGACUUUAUGGAACAAAAAUAAAACCUCUUGGAAAUACUGGCCUGAUAGGUUGCUCACAAGAUUCCCAGCAACCUUACCAGCUGUUUUUCUCAGAAAGUCAAGGUCCAGGUGGUCAAGGAAAAAAGAGACUCAAUCUCACAGAGCCAAACAGGGUGAAGAUGACACCAGAGACUCAAGAUAAAACUCAUGGCGAGGCACCAGACAGCAAGGCCAUAUGAACCCCUCCCUUACCUAAAACCCCUGGUAAAAGCCCCUACCUUUUUCACUCAAGGACGUGGAUUUGAGUUUUAACUCCCAUCUCCUCCUCUGGCUUCCUUUUGAUAAUAAACAUCUUUCCUUGUUUC